CAUUGAAACACUGAUUCCCAUAUGAUCAUCAAAGUUAAGCAAUGUCAAACUUGGUUAGUACCUCGAUGGGUGACCACUUGGGAAUACCAGAUACUGUAAG